GACGAACGCUGGCGGCAUGCCUUACACAUGCAAGUCGAACGGCAGCGCGGACUUCGGUCUGGCGGCGAGUGGCGAACGGGUGAGUAAUGUAUCGGAACGUACCAUUCAGUGGGGGAUAACGCAGCGAAAGUUGCGCUAAUACCGCAUAUUCUGUGCGCAGGAAAGCAGGGGAUCGCAAGACCUUGCGCUGAUUGAGCGGCCGAUAUCAGAUUAGCUAGUUGGUGAGGUAAAGGCUCACCAAGGCGACGAUCUGUAGCGGGUCUGAGAGGAUGAUCCGCCACACUGGAACUGAGACACGGUCCAGACUCCUACGGGAGGCAGCAGUGGGGAAUUUUGGACAAUGGGCGCAAGCCUGAUCCAGCCAUGCCGCGUGAGUGAAGAAGGCCUUCGGGUUGUAAAGCUCUUUCGGCCGGGAAGAAAUCGUAUGGGUUAAUACCCUGUGCGGAUGACGGUACCGGCAUAAGAAGCACCGGCUAACUACGUGCCAGCCGCCGCGGUAACAC
rnacentral:rRNA from 1 species